AUUGAACGCUGGCGGCAGGCCUAACACAUGCAAGUCGAGCGAGCGGCGGACGGGUGCGUCAUGUAUGGGGACUGCCCGAUAGAGGGGGAUAACUACUGGAAACGGUAGCUCAUACCGCAUACUAUCGGAUAACCCAUAUGGGAUUCGCUAGUUGGUGAGGUACUGGCUCUCCAAGGCGACGAUCCCUAGCUGGUCUGCGAGGAUGAUCAGCCACCCUGGGACGUAGACACGGCCCAGACUCCUACGGAGGCAGCAGUGGGGAAUAUUGCACAAUGGGCGCAAGCCUGAUGCAGCCAUGCCGCGUGUAUGAAGAAGGCCCUAGGUUUGUAAAGUACUUUCAGUCGGGAGGCGUUACCGACAGAAGAAGCACCGGCUAACUCCGUGCCAGCAGCCGCGGUAAUUC
rnacentral:rRNA from 1 species